AGCAGCCGCGGUAAUUCCAGCUCCAAUAGCGUAUAUUAAAGUUGUUGCAGUUAAAAAGCUCGUAGUUGAAUUUCGGGGUCAGUAGGUUGGUCGUGCCACCGGUGUGCACUGGCCUCACUGAUUCCUCCCUCUUGUAGAACCGUAAUGCCAUUAAUUUGGUGUUGCGGGGAAACAGGACUGUUACUUUGAAAAAAUUAGAGUGUUUAAAGCAGGCUAACGCCUGAAUACAUUAGCAUGGAAUAAUGAAAUAGGACGCUCGAUCCUAUUUUGUUGGUUUCUAGGAUUGACGUAAUGAUUAAUAGGGAUAGUUGGGGGCAUUAGUAUUCAAUUGUCAGAGGUGAAAUUCUUGGAUUUAUUGAAGACUAACUACUGCGAAAGCAUUUGCCAAGGAUGUUUUCAUUAAUCAAGAACGAAAGUUAGGGGAUCGAAGACGAUCAGAUACCGUCGUAGUCUUAACCAUAAACUAUGCCGACUAGGGAUCGGAUGAUGUUAAUUUUUUAAUGACUCAUUCGGCGCCUUA
rnacentral:rRNA from 1 species